rnacentral:rRNA from 1 species
GAUGAACGCUGGCGGCGUGCCUAAUACAUGCAAGUCGAGCGAACGGACGAGAAGCUUGCUUCUCUGAUGUUAGCGGCGGACGGGUGAGUAACACGUGGAUAACCUACCUAUAAGACUGGGAUAACUUCGGGAAACCGGAGCUAAUACCGGAUAAUAUUUUGAACCGCAUGGUUCAAAAGUGAAAGACGGUCUUGCUGUCACUUAUAGAUGGAUCCGCGCUGCAUUAGCUAGUUGGUAAGGUAACGGCUUACCAAGGCAACGAUGCAUAGCCGACCUGAGAGGGUGAUCGGCCACACUGGAACUGAGACACGGUCCAGACUCCUACGGGAGGCAGCAGUAGGGAAUCUUCCGCAAUGGGCGAAAGCCUGACGGAGCAACGCCGCGUGAGUGAUGAAGGUCUUCGGAUCGUAAAACUCUGUUAUUAGGGAAGAACAUAUGUGUAAGUAACUGUGCACAUCUUGACGGUACCUAAUCAGAAAGCCACGGCUAACUACGUGCCAGCAGCCGCGGUAAUACGUAGGUGGCAAGCGUUAUCCGGAAUUAUUGGGCGUAAAGCGCGCGUAGGCGGUUUUUUAAGUCUGAUGUGAAAGCCCACGGCUCAACCGUGGAGGGUCAUUGGAAACUGGAAAACUUGAGUGCAGAAGAGGAAAGUGGAAUUCCAUGUGUAGCGGUGAAAUGCGCAGAGAUAUGGAGGAACACCAGUGGCGAAGGCGACUUUCUGGUCUGUAACUGACGCUGAUGUGCGAAAGCGUGGGGAUCAAACAGGAUUAGAUACCCUGGUAGUCCACGCCGUAAACGAUGAGUGCUAAGUGUUAGGGGGUUUCCGCCCCUUAGUGCUGCAGCUAACGCAUUAAGCACUCCGCCUGGGGAGUACGACCGCAAGGUUGAAACUCAAAGGAAUUGACGGGGACCCGCACAAGCGGUGGAGCAUGUGGUUUAAUUCGAAGCAACGCGAAGAACCUUACCAAAUCUUGACAUCCUUUGACAACUCUAGAGAUAGAGCCUUCCCCUUCGGGGGACAAAGUGACAGGUGGUGCAUGGUUGUCGUCAGCUCGUGUCGUGAGAUGUUGGGUUAAGUCCCGCAGCGAGCGCAACCCUUAAGCUUAGUUGCCAUCAUUAAGUUGGGCACUCUAAGUUGACUGCCGGUGACAAACCGGAGGAAGGUGGGGAUGACGUCAAAUCAUCAUGCCCCUUAUGAUUUGGGCUACACACGUGCUACAAUGGACAAUACAAAGGGCAGCGAAACCGCGAGGUCAAGCAAAUCCCAUAACGUUGUUCUCAGUUCGGAUUGUAGUCUGCAACUCGACUACAUGAAGCUGGAAUCGCUAGUAAUCGUAGAUCAGCAUGCUACGGUGAAUACGUUCCCGGGUCU